rfam:Salmo salar isolate Sally breed double haploid chromosome ssa16, whole genome shotgun sequence.
UGCAUUCACUACUGUAAGUCACUCUGGAUAAGAGCGUCUGUUAAAUGACUAAAA